AUGCCCAGGCUGACGGAGUGAAGAGGCACGAAGAAUUGUCAUUCGCUUGAAAUUUGCUGAUGCUUUAGCACUUCAUGUCCCUAUACAUGUAUCCUCUCCACCAGCAAGAGCUGGGAAGAAGGGGUAGAGAGAGUGUAUGGUGUGCAAAGAGACUUCAAGGAGAGAGAAGAAAUGUAAGCAAGUCACAACCAUGUGCAAGGAGUGCAAUGUGGGGGCUGUGCCUUGGUGAUUGUUUCCAAAACUACCACACCCUGCUGUCAUAUUAGAUGGUGUUAUGAGCUGAGGUUAGUGGAGCACCCUGCCUCAGCAGUGAUAUUUACCCCCUAGCCUUGUGGACACUAUUAGGAAAAUAUCACAGUGGCUAUAGAACAGAAAUGUAAAUAUUGUAAAUAUAAUUAUGACAUAAGAUUCAUGUGAAAGUAGAUGAGGCCUGAACAAGUUACAAAUAGACUUAUAAGCGUAUAUGUAUAUAAGGCGUGAUAAGAAUAGUUUAUAUAUGAAAAAUUAGAAAUUACUAAAUGAUUAGAAAUACAAUAAAUCAAGAUUGGAUAAAUGGAAUGAAAACUUGCACUCUAUGUCACAGCAGAAGAUUGAUCAACGCUUUCUACUUUUGCCAGGGACAGGCACCAAAAGAAGUCACUCCCAGUGAUCCUGGUAUACAUAAGUUACUAGUGUCAACAACCAUGAUGAGGGCACAAGUCGACGAGUUCUUCCUUGUGUUUACCACAUAAUGUGCAAGCAUUUCCUCAUACUAGUGGUGGCGUGUGCUGCUGUCCUCUACUCUUCCCUGGAGCCAUCGCUAUACCUGACGUGUCUCUUAUGUAUCACUCUGAAUUGCUGUAAUAAAUCAAAUUACAUUCUUAUCAUUGAUGACAUACUAUCAGAC